GUGCUCGCUUCAGCAGCACAGGUGCUGACUUGGAACGGCACUGAGAACAUUAGCAUGGCCCUGUGCAACGAUGACACGCACAUUCAUAAAGCGAUCUACAGAGUG
ensembl:snRNA LOC120096368 U6 spliceosomal RNA